GACGAGCCACACGAACGUUAUCCGGAUUUACUGGGCGUAAAGGGUGUGCAGGCUGCCCCUCAAGUGGUGUAUGAAAGGGCUCGGCUCAACCGGGCUAGGUUAUGCCAGACUGAGGGGCUAGAGAGCGAGAGCGGGACGUGGAAUUCCGGGUGUAGUGGUGAAAUGCGUAGAGAUCCGGAGGAACCCCAGAGGCGAGGGCGGCGUCCUGGCUCGCAUCUGACGCUCAGACACGACAGCAUGGGGAGCGAACGGG
rnacentral:rRNA from 1 species